rnacentral:SRP_RNA from 1 species
GCUGGGCAUGGUGGCGCAUGCCUGUAAUCCCAGCUACUCUGGAGGCUUAGACAGGGGAAUCGCUCGGACCCAGGAGGCAGAGGUUGCAGUGAGCCGAGAUCCUGCCAUUGCACUCCAGCCUGGGUGACAGAGCGAGAACCUGUCUUUA